rnacentral:rRNA from 1 species
AGGUGGUGCAUGGUUGUCGUCAGCUCGUGUCGUGAGAUGUUGGGUUAAGUCCCGCAACGAGCCGCAACCCUUGUCUUUAGUUGUCCAUUCAUUAAGUUGGGCACUCUAAAGAGACUGCCGAUGACAAAACGGAGGAAGGUGGGAUGACGUCAAAUCAUCAUGCCCCUUAUGUUCUGGGCUACACACGUGCUACAAUGGCCGGUACAGACGGACGCAAAGCCGCGAGGUGGAGCAAAUCCUAAAAAGCCGGUACUCAGUUCGGAUUGCAGGCUGCAAUUCGCCUGCAUGAAGUCGGAAUCGCUAGUAAUCGCAGGUCAGCAUACUGCGGUGAAUACGUUCCCGGGCCUU